rnacentral:rRNA from 1 species
ACAAGUAGUCAGAGCCCGUUAAUGGGUGAUGGCGUGCCUUUUGUAGAAUGAACCGGCGAGUUACGAUUUGAUGCAAGGUUAAGCAGUAAAUGUGGAGCCGUAGCGAAAGCGAGUCUGAAUAGGGCGUUUAGUAUUUGGUCGUAGACCCGAAACCAGGUGAUCUACCCUUGGUCAGGUUGAAGUUCAGGUAACACUGAAUGGAGGACCGAACCGACUUACGUUGAAAAGUGAGCGGAUGAACUGAGGGUA